rnacentral:rRNA from 1 species
UGGCGGCCGUAGCGCGGUGGUCCCACCUGACCCCAUGCCGAACUCAGAAGUGAAACGCCGUAGCGCCGAUGGUAGUGUGGGGUUUCCCCAUGCGAGAGUAGGGAACUGCCA